GUGUUACAUGCCUACAUGUAUUUGUCUUUACCCACAGUUAGCCCUAUACGGCCUUUACUUGGUCAAGGACUGUGUCACGAAGGAUGUUUUAUGCGUCAAGUCGAGCUGAAUACCAUACGGAGGAGAGCUUAGAGAAAGGGCGCGACCUGAUCUCCAGGAUAGUGUCCCAAGACAAAUUAUUGUCAACACGAUUUCUCGGAAACCCUAACUUGUACAACCCGAGACCAGCUGUCCAGGAGGACAAAUUGCCCAGGGUCAUGAUGUACAUCCGGGUUCAACUGGGCCAGAAAAAGUAGCCUACAUUCUACAAGUACGAAUGGCUCGUCGUUUAUUUACCAAGGACAUCAUAACAGUACUCGACAACACCACACAUCGUACGUCAAUUCGGUUAGCCCUAUACGGCCUUUACUUGGUCAAGGACUGUGUCACGAAGGAUGUUUUAUGCGUCAAGUCGAGCUGAAUACCAUACGGAGGAGAGCUUAGAGAAAGGGCGCGACCUGAUCUCCAGGAUAGUGUCCCAAGACAAAUUAUUGUCAACACGAUUUCUCGGAAACCCUAACUUGUACAACCCGAGACCAGCUGUCCAGGAGGACAAAUUGCCCAGGGUCAUGAUGUACAUCCGGGUUCAAUUGGACCAGAAAAAGGUUUCAAUUUGUUUCCUUUCCUUUUGUGUGCUUGUCCCAGUUCUUUUUCUAUCUUUUUUCUUUUCUUUUGGUUGCAUUUACCAGCUGUUAACACAUAAAGCAGUAUUUAUAACACGCGGCUUUGUACUUGUGCUGUUCUUUUCAUACACAAAAGUGAAAAUUAUAAGU